AUAACUCAUGUCAGCACAAUGGCUGACUACUGGGCUGGUGAAAACCUCGGGGAAUACAAACUAUAAUAGAAAUACAAAAAUGUGGUAUGAGUGCCAAUGACACAAGUUGUCAAAUCUCCUUCCAAGUCCCAAUGUGUUAAAGGAAACAAUCAUAGGUCAGACUACGGCCUUCAACACGGAGCUUAGACUCACACCGAACAGUAAGCAAUACAAGAC
rnacentral:lncRNA from 1 species